AUUGAACGCUGGCGGUAUGCUUAACACAUGCAAGUCGAACGGUAGCAGGCCUUCGGGCGCUGACGAGUGGCGGACGGGUGAGUAACGCGUAGGAAUCUGCCUCAUAGUGGGGGACAACGUGGGGAAACUCACGCUAAUACCGCAUACGCCCUACGGGGGAAAGCGGGGGCUCUUCGGACCUCGCGCUAUGAGAUGAGCCUGCGUUAGAUUAGCUAGUUGGUAGGGUAAAAGCCUACCAAGGCGACGAUCUAUAGCUGGUCUGAGAGGACGAUCAGCCACACUGGGACUGAGACACGGCCCAGACUCCUACGGGAGGCAGCAGUGGGGAAUAUUGGACAAUGGGCGCAAGCCUGAUCCAGCAAUACCGCGUGUGUGAAGAAGGCCCUAGGGUUGUAAAGCACUUUCAAUGGGGAGGAAAAAGAGUAAGCUAAUACCUUGCUUAUUGACAUUACCCAUACAAGAAGCACCGGCUAACUCCGUGCCAGCCGCCGCAGUAAAAC
rnacentral:rRNA from 1 species